GAAUGUAUAGCUCAAUUGGAUAGAGCGGUGGCCUUUUAAGCCGACGGUUCUAGGUUCGAGUCCUGGUACAUUUA